GCGGGUGCAGUAGGCAGCCAACCAGGGCGGUGCCAAGAUUUAGUCCAUUGGUUAUUGGCUGUUGGCUUUUGUAGAAGCAAUGGCAAAAGGAGGUCUUCAAGGUUUUCUGGAGAGGUAUUUACCCACCUCAGUCUGCAUUAAGCAAGAUCCUACCUUGAUGUUCAGCAAUGGAAGCAGGACUUUAAGAAAAUCCUGAACCUGGGGAACAUCUAUGGACAUCACUGUCACCUUUGUGGAGGCUUCGAGAGGACGUCCAGCUUUCAACCACCGGCUCCUGUACAGGUGGACUGGUCUUUCUGUAGCUGCCUCCAGAGUGCUGGUGAUCGAACAUGUCUGACUGUGUGCAGUGCUGACAUGCAUCUUGGCCUUCAACAUGCCCAGCUGGCUGUCU
rnacentral:lncRNA from 1 species